AAUGAUAAAAAAAUUAGUUUUUUAUCUUCCUGGGCAGGAGAGGUGCAGGUCCCACAACACCUGCCAGACUGAAUAUCAGGAAUGAAAGGGUUAAACUGAGGCCACCCUCUCCUGAGACAAGUCAGGCAGGUUCUGGUGAUGUAGGGGUGAUGUGGCAGCUUGAAAGAAAGGAUAAACAGAGCGUGGUACAAACUGCUUGAAGAAAAUGAUCCAAAGAGUGAAAACAAGGCUGGGCAGUUGGGAAGCACAGGGAAAAGAUGCCUCAUCAUGAAGUCCACAAGAACUGAGGCAGCAGCCAGCACACCCCACCCUGUGUGUUCACUCAGCAAGCAUGAGGAUGGCAUUGUGGGGAUAUCCUAAAUAAAUCAACACCUGGGGUUUUCCAGUCACAGGGGGUGAUAUCACACCCACAGCACGAAACUGCAGGUGGACCAUCACUGGCACGGAGAAUGCUCUGUCCCUGCGCUGGCACCAGUGGUGCCACACCACAGAUCUUCUCCCAUCCAGUGCUGUGUGUAACCACAGCUGAAAUCACACUGCUGGCAGCUGCAGUUCUCUGCAGAAUCCCUCCACCCUGACCUGACACAUCUUCAAACUGCCUUGCACAGAACUGCACCAUCUACUAAAAAAAAAGUUAAAACAGUAUUUUUCUCUUUUGCUUCAGCAAUAUGCCCAACCUUUUCCUUUCCCCACUUUUAUUUAUGACUCCUCUCUGCUGUCUCUGCCACUGAGAUAUUCAUCCACGUGUUCCCAUCAUUUCAGGUUCCCUUCCUGGGCCAUCCAAUCCCUCAGCUGUUACAGCUCCUCAUAACCCACAUUUUGUGAACAACCACAACUCCCACAGUGAUGUCCAUUUCAGCCCAUUCCACACAGAAGCGGAAAAAUUUCUUCCUGAGAAGGAAUUAAUGCAAGAGAAGUGGAGAUCAGUAAAUGACUACAAUAAAAAUACCCUUCAGCUUUCCUUUUUAUUCUUCCAUAUUUUUCCAGCAGCUGCUUAAAAACUGGUAUUCAGCAAUAAAAUGACCUGAUAACAUUUAGGUCUUUGAGACAUAGAUAUUUUAUUUACUGAAAAAGUGUUACUAAACCACUUUACAAAAACAUUCACCAGGCUUUGCAGCACUUCCAGGAAAAUACAUACAAUUCCUCUUCUCUUUAUGCAAUCAUUGUUUGCUCCUGUUCAAGCUGACAGAUGGUAUGAAAAUUUUGCACUUGACAUCCAUAAUUGUCUUUCCCACAGGCGUGUGCUCAUCGAUGAUGUGCUCAUUGCAUCACCUCCUGACUUGGAACAUUUUUUUAAAAAGCUGUUUCACAUAUGAAAUCCUGGGAAAGACCUGUCUAAAGCACUGUGUCCAAGGAUGAAAAAUAAAUGAAAGCUCCAGUGGUGCCGUUACCCAGCAGAGCUGAUGGAUUGCACUCUCCUGUGGCUGCUUUCAGCUGCUGUGUCUCGUGAACCAUGCUGCUAAUUUCACAUCUCAGUUACUGCAAAAAUGCUAAAUAAAGGUUUUGUUGUUGUUUUUUUUUUUCCAUUUUAUCCCUAAAAAUGUGUGAUUAUUCACAUGGCAAAAAUGAUAAAUCGAAAGAUUUGAAAAAGUGAAGAAGUGAUGGCUUCAAGUCAGCAUCACCCACACACAACUUUCAUUUAAGUCUUGCUUAGCUGAGAAAGUACUUCCAGCAGAAAUAUUAAUUUAAGAUUUUCCUAACUUUCAUGACCAGCCUCAUCCUGAAGUUGAUUUACUUUUGCUGAGUAAUACAGGAUUUGUCUUUAAUUCUUGAAAUAAUAGGAAACAGAAAGAAGGCUUACUUAAAAAAACUA